AUGGAAUUGGGGCAGCUCUGGCUGUUUCAGNACGGCGCUGCACGCGGCGCUGCGCAAGGAGCAGAUGAAGGUGGAGUCCCUGGAGAGAACCCUGCAGCAGAAGAACCAGGAGAUCGAGGAGCUGACCAAGAUCUGCGACGAGCUGAUAGCGAAACUGGGAAAGUCAGACUGAGCCUCAGCACCCCCUCCUCACCCAGCACUCUGCACUUGGCUGCUUCUCUCGUGACCUUGAGCACCUUGCCUUACCCUGGGCUCCCUGCAGGAAAGCUCCCGUGUCCAGCUGCCCCUUGGCUGCCAGACCUGUGGCUCCUGAGCAGGGCUGCUCCCCUCUCUGUGUCUGUCUGCUUCCCACAGCUCCAGGCUGGGAUCCCUGCAGGCAGCCUGGGAAUCAUCCUGGGCUCAGCUUGGGAAUCCUGGGUUUAGCCUGGGAAUCAUC
rnacentral:lncRNA from 1 species